UCGAGGAUGAGCAUGUUGAAGAUUUAGGAGAUAGUAACGAGGAUGGAGACUCGUGAUUAUAUAUGCAUGUUGAUCUUUUAGGUAGUAUUUUUUAGAAGUUACUUUUGUUUACCAUCGAGGAUGGGAUAUGAUGGUGUGAUUAUGCAUAUUUUUGAGCUUUAAAGCAGUAGUUUUUAGAAGUUACUUUUGUUGUAUUUGGUGAGACUUGUAGUACGUUGAUAUUUGUAAUAGUACUCAUCG
rnacentral:lncRNA from 1 species